rnacentral:rRNA from 1 species
AACGAACGCUGGCGGCAUGCCUAACACAUGCAAGUCGAACGAGACCUUCGGGUCUAGUGGCGCACGGGUGCGUAACGCGUGGGAACCUGCCCUUAGGUUCGGAAUAACUCCCCGAAAGGGGUGCUAAUACCGGAUAAUGUCUUCGGACCAACGAUUUAUCGCCUUUGGAUGGGCCCGCGUUGGAUUAGCUAGUUGGUAGGGUAAAAGCCUACCAAGGCGACGAUCCAUAGCUGGUCUGAGAGGAUGAUCAGCCACACUGGGACUGAGACACGGCCCAGACUCCUACGGGAGGCAGCAGUGGGGAAUAUUGGACAAUGGGCGAAAGCCUGAUCCAGCAAUGCCGCGUGAGUGAUGAAGGGCUUAGGGUUGUAAAGCUCUUUUACCCGGGAUGAUAAUGACAGUACCGGGAGAAUAAGCUCCGGCUAACUCCGUG